ACAGAUAAUCCAACAAACAUCAUCUAAUCAUACCUGAAACAAGACCUGGUGAAGUAUUCAAUAAUAAUAAAGUAGGUAACGCAAGCUAAAUACUAUUUUAAAUGGGAAAUAUGCACACAAUCCUUCAGAGACGGAUUUUGUUGUCGUCAUCACAGAUAAAUUUCGAAAAAAGCAGUUGCAUCUGAACGACGGCCGAUGGAAAAAGAGUGCGUGGCCAUUGGUGUGUGUCGAAGCAUAACACGCUACAGCCCCCGGUGGCAUUACUACUUCGUCACGCUCGUGUAUUUUUCCGAAACCUUAUUCUUAAUACA